rnacentral:rRNA from 1 species
UACAGAGGGUGCAAGCGUUAAUCGGAUUUACUGGGCGUAAAGCGUGCGUAGGCGGUUCAGUAUGUCGGUCGUGAAAUCCCCCGGGCUUAACCUGGGAACUGCGGCCGAAACUGCUGAACUCGAGUGUGGUAGAGGAAGGUGGAAUUCCAGGUGUAGCGGUGAAAUGCGUAGAUAUCUGGAGGAACACCGAUGGCGAAGGCAGCCUUCUGGGCCACAACUGACGCUGAGGUACGAAAGCGUGGGUAGCAAACAGG